rnacentral:rRNA from 1 species
UGUGGUUACAAUAGCAGAGAGGAUACACCUGUUCCCAUUCCGAACACAGAAGUUAAGCUCUCUAGCGCUGAUGGUACUUG